rnacentral:RNase_P_RNA from 1 species
CGAGCCGGCCAGGCAGCCGCCGUCGCCGCGGGGGUUCCCCCGGAGGCGGAGGAAAGUCCGGGCUCCACGGAACAGGGCGCCAGGUAAUCCCUGGGGGGCGCGAGCCCACGGAAAGUGCAACAGAGAGCAGACCGCCGCGGCCCACCGCCUCCGGGCGAACGCCGCGGUAAGGGUGAAAGGGUGCGGUAAGAGCGCACCGCGUGCGACGGUAACGUCGGCGGCUAGGCAAACCCCGCCCGGAGCAAGGCCAAAUAGGAAUCCGCAGGGCGUGUUCCGCGCCGGAUUCGGGUAGGCCGCAAGAGGCGACCGGUGACGGUCGUUCCCAAGAUGAAUGGCUGCCCGCGACAGAACCCGGCUUAUCGGCCGGCUCGCUCC